rnacentral:rRNA from 1 species
CACCCAACAGCUAGCCCCUCCAACCAAAAGUAACAAACCACUAUUAAUAACCCCAAAUACACUAAUGUUAACAUCAAACAAACCAUUUUUCCCCCUUAGUAUGGGCGACAGAAAAGGAACUGUGGCGCAAUAGAGAAAGUACCGCAAGGGAACGCUGAAAAAGAAAUGAAACAACCCAGUAAAGCCUAAAAAAGCAGAGAUUUUAACUCGUACCUUUUGCAUCAUGAUUUAGCUAGUAACCCCCAAGCAAAGAGAGCUUUAGUUUGAUUUCCCGAAACUAAGUGAGCUACUCCAAGACAGCCUAUUAAUAGGGCAAACCCGUCUCUGUGGCAAAAGAGUGGGAAGAGCUUUGAGUAGAGGUGACAGACCUACCGAACUUAGUUAUAGCUGGUUGCCUGAAAACUGGAUAGAAGUUCAGCCUCCCGGCUUCUUUCUUCACCUCCGUCUCAACCCUUCCUGAUACCCAAAGAAACCGUGAGAGUUAGUCAAAGGGGGUACAGCCCCUUUGAAACAAGACACAACUUUAGCAGUUGGGUAAAGAUCAUAAUAUUUAAAGGUAAAAUGUUCUGGUGGGCCUAAAAGCAGCCAACCCUACAGAAAGCGUUAAAGCUAAGACAUACCCCCUACCCCUCUUAUCCCGAUAAUUAAAUCUCAACCCCCUAGUCCUAUCAGGCCGCUCCAUGCAUACAUGGAAGUGACCAUGCUAAUAUGAGUAAUAAGAGAACAUUCGACUCUCUCCUCGCACACAUGUAAAUCGGAACGGACCCCCCACCGAAUAUUAACGGCCCCAAACAAAGAGGGCAUUGGAUGACAAAUCAGACAACCAGAAAAACACCCAAUAAAUUAACCGUUAAGCCCACACUGGUGUGCCUCUCAGGAAAGACUAAAAGAAAAAGAAGGAACUCGGCAAACACAUGAAGCCUCGCCUGUUUACCAAAAACAUCGCCUCUUGCAAAACUGAAAAUAUAAGAGGUCCCGCCUGCCCUGUGACUAUAAGUUUAACGGCCGCGGUAUUUUGACCGUGCGAAGGUAGCGCAAUCACUUGUCUUUUAAAUGGAGACCUGUAUGAAUGGCACAACGAGGGCUUGACUGUCUCCUUUUUCAAGUCAAUGAAAUUGAUCCCCCCGUGCAGAAGCGGGGAUAAGAACAUAAGACGAGAAGACCCUAUGGAGCUUUAGACGCCAAGAUAGAUCAUGUUAAUCACCCCUAAAUAAAGGACUAAACCAAAUGGGCCCUACCUCAAUGUCUUUGGUUGGGGCGACCGCGGGGAAACAAAAAACCCCCACGUGGAAUGGGUACACUUUCCUACAACUAAGAGCUCCCGCUCUAAUAAACAGAAUUUCUGACCAACAAGAUCCGGCAACGCCGAUCAACGAACCGAGUUACCCUAGGGAUAACAGCGCAAUCCCCUUUUAGAGCCCAUAUCGACAAGGGGGUUUACGACCUCGAUGUUGGAUCAGGACAUCCUAAUGGUGCAGCCGCUAUUAAGGGUUCGUUUGUUCAACGAUUAAAGUCCUACGUGAUCUGAGUUCAGACCGGAGUAAUCCAGGUCAGUUUCUAUCUAUGACAUGCUUUUUUCUAGUACGAAAGGACCGAAAAGAAGGGGCCCAUACUCAAGGUACGCCUCACCCCCACCUAAUGAAAACAACUAAAAUAAGCAAAAGGGCAUACCCUCAUGUCUAAGAAAAGGACAU